UACGUAGGGCGCAAGCGUUGUCCGGAAUUAUUGGGCGUAAAGAGCUCGUAGGCGGUUUGUCGCGUCUGUCGUGAAAGCUUGGGGCUUAACCCCAAGUCUGCGGUGGAUACGGGCAGACUAGAGGCAGGUAGGGGAGAACGGAAUUCCCGGUGUAGCGGUGAAAUGCGCAGAUAUCGGGAGGAACACCGGUGGCGAAGGCGGCAUCCUGGACCGGUAUUGACGCUGAGGCGCGAAAGCCAGGGGAGCAAACGGG
rnacentral:rRNA from 1 species